GUAGGUGGCAAGCGUUGUCCGGAAUUAUUGGGCGUAAAGCGCGCGCAGGCGGUUCUUUAAGUCUGAUGUGAAAGCCCACGGCUCAACCGUGGAGGGUCAUUGGAAACUGGAGAACUUGAGUACAGAAGAGGAAAGCGGAAUUCCACGUGUAGCGGUGAAAUGCGUAGAGAUGUGGAGGAACACCAGUGGCGAAGGCGGCUUUCUGGUCUGUAACUGACGCUGAGGCGCGAAAGCGUGGGGAGCAAACAGGGAUUAGAUACCCUGGUAGUCCACGCCGUAAACGAUGAGUGCUAAGUGUUAGGGGGUUUCCGCCCCCUUAGUGCUGCAGCUAACGCAUUAAGCACUCCGCCUGGGGAGUACGGCCGCAAGGCUG
rnacentral:rRNA from 1 species